UCAUGAAUAGCAAGAUUCUCUGUUAGGUAAAGUAAGUACUUUCUAAGCAUAUAUAGGCAAGCAAUAUAUGGGUUGUUCAUUGAAGUAGUGAAACCUCACGGCCACUGAUUUGUCUUUCUUCUGAUGGCUCGUGAAGACGCAAAGAACAAAGAGUGCUGCCAUGUAGCAGCAGAUGUUCCAAACCAGCCUCAGCCAUCAGAAAAAAAGAGUUUUCGAUGCCCACAUACACAAAAGAAAGGGAACAGAAACUUCCUUGAAGGAUGCAUCUUUGCUUUGUGCUGUUGCUGGAUUUGUGAUGCUUGCUUUGAUGUUAGUGUGACUGUGUGAUUAACAUCAGCAGCAGCAGGAUUUACGCCAUAUGCAUAGCCAACAGACAACUAUCUAGCAAUUUUACUGUUUAAGACAUGACUGGAUGUACUCAUGUGAUGUGAUAUAUCUCAAACCAAAUAUUAGCUAAACACUUUUUUCUCUUCAUAUUGUAUUAGUUCUUCCAGAACUCAGGCUGCUGUUCAUAUUUUCUUGUGACUUCCAACCUUAUAAGUUUGAAGUCAUUGUAAUGAGAAGUGAAAACGUGUGAAAUAGAGAGAUUUUCUCAUCCACAAA